rfam:Schistosoma mattheei strain Denwood, Zambia genome assembly, scaffold: SMTD_scaffold0008490
GCACUGCUGAGGAGUCCCAUACCGGGACGAAACGGCCGUCCAGUUC